CUCAGGACCACCUCAGUCCUUUAGUGAAGAAGAUUCAUUUAAAAAAUGUUCAUCUGAAGUUGAAGCUAAAAAUAAGAUUGAAGAACUACUUGCUAGUCUUUUAAACAGAGUAUGCCAAGAUGGAAGGAAGCCUCAUACAGUGAGAUUAAUAAUCCGUCGGUAUUCCUCUGAGAAGCACUAUGGUCGUGAGAGUCGUCAGUGCCCUAUUCCUUCACAUGUAAUUCAGAAAUUAGGGACAGGAAAUUAUGAUGUGAUGACCCCAAUGGUUGAUAUACUUAUGAAACUUUUUCGAAAUAUGGUGAAUGUGAAGAUGCCAUUUCACCUUACCCUUCUAAGUGUGUGCUUCUGCAACCUUAAAGCACUAAAUACUGCUAAGAAAGGGCUUAUUGAUUAUUAUUUAAUGCCAUCAUUAUCAACUACUUCACGCUCUGGCAAGCACAGUUUUAAAAUGAAAGACACUCAUAUGGAAGAUUUUCCCAAAGACAAAGAAACAAACCGGGAUUUCCUACCAAGUGGAAGAAUUGAAAGUACAAGAACUAGGGAGUCUCCACUAGAUACCACAAAUUUUUCUAAAGAAAAAGACAUUAAUGAAUUCCCACUCUGUUCACUUCCUGAAGGUGUUGACCAAGAAGUCUUCAAGCAGCUUCCAGUAGAUAUUCAAGAAGAAAUCCUUUCUGGAAAAUCUAGGGAAAAAUUUCAAGGGAAAGGAAGUGUGAGUUGUCCAUUACAUGCCUCUAGAGGAGUAUUAUCUUUCUUUUCUAAAAAACAAAUGCAAGAUAUUCCCAUAAAUCCUAGAGAUCAUUUAUCCAGUAGCAAACAGGUAUCCUCUGUAUCUCCUUGUGAACCGGGAACAUCAGGCUUUAAUAGCAGUAGUUCUUCUUACAUGUCUAGCCAAAAGGAUUAUUCAUAUUAUUUAGAUAAUAGAUUAAAAGAUGAACGAAUAAGUCAAGGACCUAAAGAACCUCAAGGAUUCCACUUUACAAAUUCAAACCCUGCUGUGUCUGCUUUUCAUUCAUUUCCAAACUUGCAGAGUGAGCAACUUUUCUCCAGAAACCACACUACAGAUAGCCAUAAGCAAACAGUAGCAACAGACUCUCAUGAAGGACUUACAGAAAAUAGAGAGCCAGAUUCUGUUGAUGAGAAAAUUACUUUCCCUUCUGACAUUGAUCCUCAAGUUUUCUAUGAACUACCAGAAGCAGUACAAAAGGAACUGCUGGCAGAGUGGAAGAGAGCAGGAUCAGAUUUCCACAUUGGACAUAAAUAAGCAUAUUCAGCAAAAAGGUCUGAAAAGCAAGGGAAUACCAUUAUUUUCGGAUUAGCGGUUUAUUAAGCUCUUCUAUAUUAAACACUAAUAGAUAUUCAAUAACGGAGUAAACUGUUCCAGAUAAAGCAAGAAUAGUUGCAAGAAGUAAAUUCUGGCACAAAGCGUAAAAAUAUAACAGAAGAAAUAAUGUAAAAUACUAUCUUUUAUGUCUAAAGCCAUUUUAUAUUACUUUUCAAUAAAAAGAAUAUCAUGGUC
rnacentral:lncRNA from 1 species